ACCUGGCUGGCUCAGUAGGUGGAGCAUGUGACUCCAGAUUUCAAGGUUGUGAGUUCGAGUCUCACGUUGGGUG